AGAUGUAAGAGGUAAUAAAAAAUGAGCUAGUGUGUCUUACCACAUUGGCCUUGGUCCUUGAUGGGAGUAACAGCUCCUUUAUUCCUCCAAUCAAUGGAGGUUGGCACUGCAGUGACAUUUUCAUAUCUAAAAGAAGAUGUUGUUAAUGAUUUAAGAACGGAAGACCUUUUGUAUCUAUUUCUAGAGGCUCUGAACUCUUUAUUAGUCAGGUCUGCAAAUUCAUUGAUGUCCAGCUUGUAAGGCUUAUUCGCAGCAUUGUUGAAGGACUCGAUGAACUUCACAUUCUCGCUGAAUAUAUUAAAGCGUCUCUCCAUCUCUGCGCUGUCUUUAUAAACACGUCCAUAUUUAGCCAUCCACAUUUCAUGCUUCUCAGUCAUGGUUGCAUCCUUGAGUGAGCGUGACGAGGCUUGAGAUGUCCAGAUUCCCACUAACAAAAUCGCCACAAAAAUUAGUUUGUUUUCAAGAAUUGCAGCCAUUAUCCGAUGCGAAUAUGAUAUUGCUGUUCAGGAUGGUGAUUAAUGUGUUUUGGCACACCAGUCCUCUGAGAACUAAAGGUAUUUAUACUUGUGCAGCAACCUUUCUACAGGAUUUCUUCCAAAUUGCAUUCUCAUAUUACCUGGUGAAUCCGGCAAGUUGUGUAUGAUAUGGACAACCAAAGUUCAGUUUCUUGACGUUGCUUCUUUCAUAUUAAUUACCUACUGUUUGUAUUGUUGUGAGAAAUUUUAUUUGCUGUAUACGGUGCGUUGAUUAGUCCAAUUAUCGAGCUGAAUUCUUAUUUGGUCUGUUGAGCAUUGGUGCAAGUGCUUACUUUUCUUUUUUUUUGUAUUGUAUGAUUAAUUUGGUUCAGACGGUGGAUAAGCUGCAAAUGGAACAGGGGAAGUAUGUAUAUACCUGUCAAUCAAACUCUGGCAUACUAAACAUUUUAUUAAUAAUAGACCUGCUGCAACGGAAGAUCAACAUGUUUAUGAUAUGUGUUAGCUUGAAAAGCACGAAAAAAAAAAUUUAUUCCAAUUAGCAAGGCCUGGAGGGCCAUUGAAAAGCUGCAAUUAGUUGUUUGUGGACCUAUGAGUAUUGAUGAUUAUUCAUGGUUCUCGUGGGUUCAUUUCUUAAAGCAACAAUAUGAAGUACCUGGUAUUUCUUUCAAUUUAAGUGUAUGGUUAAAAAUCAAUCCAAUUGCAGCAUUAAGACUGAGACUCAGGUCAGAUAAUGGUACUAAGUAUGUCUCAGAAAAUUUUGAAGUUAUUUGCAGGGAAUUAGGAAUUCAUUGUCAACUUACUAAUCCUUGUAUUCCUCAAUAAACUGGAGUGAGUAAGAGGAAGAACAUAAUCAUAAUGGAAAUAUGCUCCCCAUAAAAUUAUAUGUGGCGGAAUUCAUUUAACUAAUCAUUCGGCUUUAUUGGGACUUAAUAUUUUGAUGUAUCCAGCAUUUAGUCUGUUUGACUUAUGCUGGUGCAAUUCUUUUAAGACAAAUAAUUAAUUAAUUUAUUAGUUUCUAAGGGAUUGGCAGAAAUGUUUUAUUCAUUCUAAGCAUUCAGUACCAAGAUUAAUCGAAACCCACUCAGAAUUCUAUUUUAGAAAACUAAUGUGAUAUGGAAACAUCAUUGUAUUAUGUCUCAACUCUCUGACUUAGUUUACUGUGAACAGUAACCAUAAUUCCUAGGAUUUCUUACAUAGCCCUCAGCAUUUCUUACAAAGCCAAGCAUGAUCAUAAACCUAUUUGCUAUUUUUACUUAGAAGUUUAUGAUUGGCGCCUUGGAGUGUAAGUGUAGAAGUAAGAUUGAAAGAAGGAAUCACCACCAAUUUCCUUACCAAAGUAAGCCUUUAUAUACAUACAAGCUGAAAGCAAGUGCAAUACAUGAUUUUACAGAAUAAUACUCCAAAUAGCUUAUACUUAUGCAGAAUAGAAUCUUAAGGUCCAGAAAUUUAUACUUUGCUGCCAUUUUUAUGCAGUUGGAUAUGAAGGCUCCAUGGCUAUUCCACAAAGGCCUUCCUUAGCAUCAAUGUCUCUUUCCAUUCUUAUGUAUCCAUCCUCACCCCAAGAACUUCCCCAUGAGUUCUUCACUAGCCAAUAUUUUGUACCAUCAUCACUUGUCCCGUACCCCACUGCAGUAACCCCAUGGUCUAAUUCAGUUCCACAGUCUCCUGUAAACACCCCGUUUGAGUAGAAUUGGAAAGCAGAUCCACUGGCAUCAAUGGCAACAGAAACUGGAUGGUUGGCUACUGCCUUCUUCAGUGCCUCUUCGCUAUUGGCAGGCACAUCUUCAUACCCAGUAAUUUUAGCUGCAUGAUUAGAUGCCUUCCCUGUGUUGCAAGUGCCAUCCUCUCCUUUGUAAGGGUAAUUGGCUUCAGUAGUUAGGCCUCCAUUUUGUAUUAUGAAUUCAAAUGCAUCAUCCAUAAGUCCACCUUCACAACCUUGAUCUUCACCAUUUGUGUCACAAUCAACUAGUUCUUGCUCUGAAAGAGAGAUCAACUUCCCUGUUGAAAGCUUUGUUAUGCCUUCCAUGGCUGCCACAGCAGAAAAUGCCCAGCAACAUCCUACAACAUAUUUUAGACAAGUUAGUAAACAAAAUAUUAAAAAUGUACAAGGUUAUAUGAAAUAAGCUAAUGUGCUUUUACCACAUUGGCCUUGGUCCUUGAUGGGAGUAACAGCUCCUUUAUUCCUCCAAUCAAUGGAGGUUGGCACUGCAGUGACAUUUUCAUAUCUAAAAGAAGAUGUUGUUAAUGAUUUAAGAACGGAAGACCUUUUGUAUCCAUUUCUAGAGGCUCUGAACUCUUUAUUAGUUAGGUCUGCAAAUUCAUUGAUGUCCAGCUUGUAAGGCUUAUUCGCAGCAUUGUUGAAGGACUCGAUGAACUUCACAUUCUCGCUGAAUAUAUUAAAGCGUCUC
rnacentral:lncRNA from 1 species